UGGAAGCCUAGCGUGCUGCAGUUCAUGGGGUCGCAAAGAGCUGGACACAACUGCGUGACUGACAGACAUGCAACACAUCCUGUCCUAUACAGACCAGCAAAAACUGUGGAAAUCGCACUAACAGGUCUGCCUUGCAAGAAAUGGUUAAAGUUCUUCAAGAGAUAGAAAAUUAUAUGGAUCAGAAACUGAUAUCUACAUCAAGAAUGGAAAAGAAAUAGAAGAAAUAAAUGUAGACUGACCACAUCACCAGGUACUACUUUAGUAUAAUACAUACAGUGAUGGAGAGAAUGCAACAUAUAGAAGUUACUGUAUGCAGAACUGAGGGGAUCUUCCUGACCCAUGGAUCACACACUUGUCUCCCGCGUUGCAGGCGGAUUCUUUACCUGCUUAGCCACUGAGGAAAGCCCCGGAAAAGAAUGGGAACAACCUCUCACAGCAGAGAACUAGUCACUGCACGGGGCUCCAAAGCUUAGAGUGUUUCUGGUGACCUGGAGCUUCUAACUCUUUAUGACUGUUCUUCAUUCAACAAAGGAGACUGCAGGCAUGCUACAAUCGUGGAGAAGAUCCGGUUGCCCUGGGUGAUGUUGAUCUGCAUGACUCCAGCCCCCAGGUUCCUGAAUAUGGACUGUUUAGCGUGUUCAUUUUUAAAUGAAUGAAUUAGGCCAUGGCCUGUCAAUCUCCAAACCUAGUUUAGAGGAAAACGUGAAAACAAAAAAGUGUCCUAACAAGAACCACACGGAAAGAAGGAAGGAAGCAAGAGACAGCGUUCGCACAAAGAGGGUGGUUAGUUUUUUGCUUUGGUUCCCCUUGCCAAUCAGCCUUGACAGAAGAUAAACAUAAUAGCACGUUUGCACGUCUCUCAUAUGAUGACUCACCUUGAUGUUACCUUCUGCUGAACCUGUAGUAAAAUAUUCCUCACAGGGGUCGAGAGCCAGCGCCUUAAUAGCAGAGUCAUGCGCCUGGAAUGUGUGCAUGAGCUGUCUCUGCCUGAUGUCAAAAAUGCAGAUGUAGCCUUUCCUGCCU